rnacentral:rRNA from 1 species
ACGGGGUGCAGCAGGCGCGAAACCUUUACACUGCACGAUAGCGGAUUAAGGGGACUCCAAGUGCGAUGGCAUACAGUCCUCGCUUUUCUUGACCGUAAGUGGUCCAGGAAUAAGUGCUGGGCAAGACCGGUGCCAGCUGCCGUGGUAAUACCGGCAGCACAAGUGAUGGCCAAUCUUAUUGGGCCUAAAGCGUCCGUAGCUGGCCGAGCAGGUCCGUCGGGAAAUCCACGUGCUCAACGCGUGGGCGUCCGGCGGAAACCACUCGGCUUGGGGCCGGAGGACUCGAGGGGUACGUCUGGUGUAGGAGUGAAAUCCCGUAAUCCUGGACGGACCGCCGAUGGGAAAGCACCUCGAGAGGACGGACCGACAGUGAGGGACGAAAGCCAGGGUCUCGAUCCGGAUUAGAUACCCGGGUAGUCCUGGCCGUAAACGAUGUUCGCUAGGUGUGGCGUCGACUACGAGUCGGCGCUGUGCCGCAGGGAAGCCGCUAAGCGAACCGCCUGGGAAGUACGUCCGCAAGGAUGAAACUUAAAGGAAUUGGCGGGGG